rnacentral:rRNA from 1 species
AGGAUAAACGCUGGCGGCGUGCAUGAGACAUGCAAGUCGAACGGACGACUCGGGUUUGCUCGAGUCGUUAGUGGCGGACGGCUGAGUAACGCGUAGGUGACCUGCCCCGAAGUGGGGGAUAACUGCCCGAAAGGGUGGCUAAUACCGCAUGUGGUGGUUCGUUCAAUCGACCCAUCAAAGCAGCAAUGCGCUUCGGGAGGGGCCUGCGUCCGAUUAGCUCGUUGGUGGGGUAACGGCUCACCAAGGCGACGAUCGGUAGGUGGUCUGAGAGGACGAUCACCCAGACUGGGACUGAGAACGGCCCAGACUCCUACGGGAGGCAGCAGUCGGGAAUUUUGCUCAAUGGGGGAAACCCUGAAGCAGCAACGCCGCGUGAGGGAUGAAGGCCUUCGGGUUGUAAACCUUUUUCUCAGGGAAGAUAAUGACGGUACCUGAGGAAUAAGCCACGGCUAACUACGUGCCAGCAGCCGC